GGUGCAGUGGUCACCCCAGGUAGCAGCCGCCAGCUCCUCCCCCACCUCCCCCGACCCGACCCCCAGCUCCUGGGGCCAUAAGGGGCUCCGUGGCUCAGACCCAGGUGCUGUGUGGUGUGCGUUGACCACGAAGGAGAAGAGGACGACGAGGCCGGGAAGCAGAGGAGGCCCUGGAUUCCGAGGACGCUGAGGAAGAGGAGGGGAGGGCGAGGAAGAGGACGACGCGGCCAGUGCCUGCACGGAAAGCGGCUUCAGGAGGCACAGCCCCUACAGGUCAGCUAUUUUCCAGGAAGCAGUAUGGCCAUGGGAGGAAGACUCUCAGAUUUCAGCUUUGAAGAGGAGCUCAGAUUGCCGGACUGGACUAGCUCUUCUGAAUUUCCUGAGAAUGAAGUAUGGUAGCAACCAUCUCAGGUAGAAACUGUAGUUUAACUCUAACCCUGCUGUUUGGCUUAACAAUAGAAAAGUUAUUUUGAUUUUCUGAAUUAUAUAAAUCAUCCCAUUCGAUUGAAUGCCUUAUUGAUUGUAAUGUGAAUAUCCCAUUGAUUGUGAUCUUACUGGUUUUAGGAAGCAUAUUUUUCUGGUCCCCAAUACCAGGACAGCGCAAUUACUCUAAAUUGCCUCGAUGGCUCUAGAUAAUGUGUUCCUGGUAACUCAAUGGUCCCAAGACCCGAGGGCUCUAGAUGAUGUGUUCCUGUCAACGCAGUGAUCCUGAGACCCAAAACUAUAAUUAACAUACUUAAUUCUGCUUCUGUAAACUGCUUUUUUGCGAACCAGGUUCGUCAUUCCAAACCCUGGGAUGUAAUCAGUACCCUUGUGAUUUUUGCCUCUAUAAAUCUGGUGUUGCGGCCAUCUUAUCACUUCAAGAUUUGGGAGAGCGAAAUGCCCCCUCAGAGUCACGGAUUGCAAUAAAUGUGACUCUUUAAUUCAACUUUUUGAGGUGUCCUUCUGUGAUUCGCGGGGUAAAUUAUAACAAGAUGCCAGGCCCUG